UACGUAGGGGGCAAGCGUUGUCCGGAAUCAUUGGGCGUAAAGCGCGUGUAGGCGGCUGAGUAAGUCUGCUCUGAAAGCCCGGGGCUCAACCCCGGGAGGCGGGUGGAUACUGCUCAGCUCGAGUCCGGAAGAGGAGUGUGGAAUUCAUGGUGUAGCAGUGAAAUGCGUAGAGAUCAUGAGGAAGACCAGUGGCGAAGGCGGGUCUCUGGACAGUUCCUGACACUGAGGCACGAAGGCCAGGGGAGCAAACGGG
rnacentral:rRNA from 1 species